AUUUAUCUAGCUACGUACGUGGCUUCCCAGCCUGACCACGAUGCCAUCGAUAUCUCUCACGUACCCCACUUUCUGGCCCCACUCUUUCUCCUCCGGCUUGGCCACCGCCUCCGCCCCAUUCUCCACCGCUCUCUGUAAUGGAUUUCUGUCGCGGAUCUUGACGCUCCCGGUGAGGUCGUCCGUCUCAUGUUGCUUCGCCGGCGUAAACGCUAUCGUUGUGGAGCCGCUCUCCAGCUCCCCCCAUCUAAACACGAUGAUGAUAUAGAAUCUUGUAAUUAAUUAAUUAAUUAAUAAAUUAAGAUGAAGGAAAUUAAUGAUGGAUGCACCUGUGAGAAUCGUCGAGGCGGCGGACGUUGUAGCCCAAGGCCUUGGCGUAGAAGUCGACAGAUUUGGCCACAUCUUUCACGUACACAACCGUGUAUGCAUACGCCGGCUUCAAGUUGGAUGUCAUUACUCCCUCGCCUUGUGUCUCGUCUUAAUUUUUUUGUUAUCGAUCGCUAAUUAAAGAGAUUAUAAGUAAUUGGAGAGGAGUGUUGAAGCUUACACGUGUACGCCAUGCAGGUUGGAAGCUGCCACGUCUGUUUCCCCACCUAUGCCUAUCCUUACGUUCUAUUAUCCAAGUUAAUCAUUUUAACCAACCAUUUUAGACACAGGCAAAUAGCUAGUAAUCUAAUUCAGCAUGUCGGAUCUACGAUAUUUUGAGACUCGCAAGACGCACAGUAAUUAUAUAUAUUUUAUAAUUUUAAUU